UCAACAACCGACAGGUAGGCUCGAAGCAGCCAUCCUUUAAAGAAAGCGUAACAGCUCAUUGGUUUAGUUUUUUUAUUUUUAAAAUGUAUAAGGACUAAAACUAUUCACCGAAACUAUAAAUUAAAAUUAUAUUUUAAUGGUAGCAGAACGUUCUGUAGUCUGUAGAAGAUUUAUGGUUACAUAAGUUGGAAGAAUCAGAAGUGAAAAUGUUGAUAUAAGUAGCGAUAAACAUUGUGAAAAACAAUGUCGCCUAAAAUUGAAGGUUUACAAAGAAAGGCUAAUCCUCUUUGUUAGUAAAUCGGUCCCUAAGAUUUAAACACGAAUGUUUUGAUUAAUGGGUAAAGAGUUAUUUCUUUUAUAAAAUUUUUUUUGAAUAUAAGUGACAAAAUAUAAAUUAAAUUUUUAUUAUAUGGUUUUAAUACAAGUUUAAUAGUAUUUUCAAGAAAUAGCUUAUUAAAAAUUUUUACCGUACUUUAAACCGACACAGGUCAAUAAAUUGAGUAAAUUAAGGCGAUUAAGAUAAUUGUGUUGAAGGAACUCGCCAAAAUGAUUCCGUAACUUAUGGAGAAGGAAUAACUUUUUAGGGAAACCUAAAAAAGUUGUCACAAAAUCGAGGACAGCGACUGUUUAAUAAAAACACAGGUCUCUGCAAAUUUGUAAAAAGAUGUAUAGGGACUGACGCCUGCCCAGUGCUGUAAAACUAAAAGUUAAAGUUUUGGCUUUUAACUAUAACUCUCAGUAAACGGCGGCUGUAACUCUGACGGUCCUAAGGUAGCGAAAUUCCUUGGCAUUUAAUUGGUGUCCUGCAUGAAUGGCG
rnacentral:rRNA from 14 species